CCCCCGGCGCUCUUCCCUCUCGUCUCGCCGCUCUCCACGGUCGCCUCCCACUCCCGACUUGCCAAACCCUAGUGACGCGUGGCCAAAUCGGGCGGCAGCGCGGCUAUAUUUCGCGGCGGCGCACUCAAAUCGGGAACGGGAAUGACCAGCGCGGCCAAAUCGGAGACGUCGGGUAGCGAAGUCCGGACUCCGGAGUGGGGCAUGACUAGAUGCCUGGACUGGCUGCCGCUCCUGCCUGUGGCACGCCAUGCUCAUGCGGACGGGCGGCCGGCGGCCGGCGUUGGAGAGCACAGCAGCAAGCGCACGGUCGCACGGCAGUAUCGUGCAGCAGAUUGUACAAGAGCUGACCGGAAUUGAAGAAGGGAUUUUUCAUUAGGAACAAUGAUGUUGUAUUUGAUGACAAAACAUUGUGCAAUACAAAUUAAUUGGAGCAUUUUAAUGGGAGAUUCCAGAGCCCCCAGUAGGCCAGUACAGGAAUUCUAACAUGUUUGUGCUUUUUCUAUGGUGCACCUCCAGUCCUUCAGGCAUUGGGCUACAGCUCCAGUGAUGUAUUCAUCAAGAGAGUUGUGGCGAAGGGUGGGGACAUCGUUGAAGUAAGCUUUUAUCCCAAUGGUACGUGAUGGUAACUUGUUGGUUAAUGGAGUAGUCCAGGAUGAAGAAUUUGUGCUGGAGCCGGCCGACUAUGAAAUGGAUCCACUGUUAUAACAGCUUCUCUUCUUAUUACAUACCCCAGAUUUAUGUGUUUUGAUUUGCUAGCCCACGCACUGCAUGGAUUCCUGUUAGUUUCUUUCAAUUGUCCAACUUACAGUAGGUUCAGGUUAUCAUGCUAAUGUUUGAUGAAAAUAUAAGAGGCCAGGAUGGAUCAAAUCACCUUUAGUUUGGUAUAUUUUGUACCACAUCAUGUUUCUAUCAAGUCUGUUGUAUAAUUAAGUGUGGAAUUGAGAUAUCUUCAAAAUUUUGUAUUUUAUUCUUUGCUUCUGUGAACUAUCGGCAAGUGGGCUUGGUGCGGUUGUUUAGGUGCUUAGAUAGUGGCCGUAGGUGUGGAGAUUCACCAGGUCCUCCACAAGGUUGGAUGCUCCAGUGAUGACCAAAUUUACCUUCAAUGUCGUUCCAAUUCCUGAAAGCAGCUCCUGUGAGAUGCUGCACACCAUGUGGAGAUGAAGAGACAUCUGAGGAGCCUAGUUCGUUUCUUAAAUAGACUAAUGAUUUGGGAACUCUUGUUUGUCAGCUUCUCUUUCACGCUGCACUGAAUCUGCUUCAUUUUGGUUGUGUACUCCUGACUCCUGUGAUGACUGAAUUCACAUCCUAUAUCGUUCCAAUUCCUGAAAGCAGCUCCUGUUGGGAUGCUGUAAAUCUUGUGGAGAUGAAGAGACAUCUGAGGAGCCUAAUUUCUCUUUCUUUAUUUAUAAUCUUUGGAUUUUUUUAUCAGUUUCUUUUGAUUUUAUGUUCAAUUUUCAGACUAUUUUAUGCUAUUGCAGUUUGGUUUAAUUUGAUGGUAGAAACAGGUCUGAAGCUUUAGGGCCUGUUUGCACUGAAGGGAUUUCGCGGAAAUUUUGUAGAAAACACUUGCCUUUUGGUUUUCCUGUGGGUGCUGUUGAAACUUUGCUUUGCUAUUUGGGUGCAACAUUCAAACAUUUACGAGUGAUUGGGACAAGCCACAGUGUGGAUUCAUUCUGUUAGUUCAUCAAUAGAAACGCCAGAUGUUGAAAAGUUUGGGGACACAGUACCAUUUUUAUCUAAUCCACUACUAUAUGUUAUUUACAUGUUUGUCUCUUUUAAGCUAUAGUUUAUCAUUUGAGAAACCAGCAUUUUGUUUAUUACAGAUGAGGGCAGAUUAUGAUAAACUUAUGCAAAAAAAAAUCACUGCAGAUGUCCUUUGCAGUCCUCCAUUGGAGGCCAGGUUGUGAGUCACCAUGCAAGGUACAGAGAUAAGAUUGAAGCUAGAAAAUGUAUGCCUGCUUAAUUGAUCUCAAUUACGGUCCACUAAGACUCUAAGAGUACUAGUCCUUGUUCGACAGUCGACACACAAUGCUUGCUAUGAAUCAAUGUGGUGCGGUUCCAUGGAGUAAUGUGAACCGCAUAUUUCGGAAGAGCAUGAUUACAGAGUAUGUUUAAUUUUCUUUUAGCACUGCAGUCUUGAUCAUACCAUUUUCUUAUUUAAUUAUCAAAAGAAAAUAUUUAACUGCAUUGCUUAAAUCUUAGUUCCUUUUCCGUUUACCACAAUAUGUUUUUGUUUGUCUGCUUAAUUGGUUUUGUGUAAGGAAAGUUGCAUCAUGGAAACCACCAGGCUCCUGAACCUGACCUUAACAUUGUAUAGACUGAAAAAGAUAGGCUUGGGUUCUCAAGUUCAGUGACUAAUCAACAAUCAGUUGUCAGAAAUACCUAUUUGUCAUCUUUUGAUUGCAAUGUCUAUUGUUGAUUAUUAUCACUUGCAUGCUGUAAUCUUGUAUUAUCCGGUUGCCUCUAUGUGAGAAUGCUUAUUGCACUGACCUUUUACUCGGCAUUUCUGUUUGAAACUAUAACUUGUAACUUGUUGUCCCAGAAUAGGAGCUUAUACUUUCUAAUGCAGGGCGGAGUGCGGAGCUGGCAUCGAACUAUAAUUUGUUUUAUCUAGCUCAGCAGCUUGACAGUCCUUUCUGUUUAUGCAAGGCUAGCAGCAAGAGGGGCUCAGCAUCUUAUAUAUGAUGUUAACAUCCCAGCAGAGAGGACAGUGAUCCUUCAACGGAUGUCCAGAGGAUGGGAUCAAGAGACUGCACCGUUUUAGGAACAGGCAGGACAAGCUCGGCCUACAAGUGUCUCAUCAUAUAACUAUCCUGUGCCAGCGUUAUAUUAUCUGAUGCUGUGUUCCACUGCAGUACCCUCCACAGCAGCCAAGGCUCCGUAGCAGCAACAGUCAAAGCAGGUUCAUCAGCUUAUGGCACAUCAGCAGAGUCAAGAUGCUCCUGGGCGUCCACCAGCUCUAACCGAGUCUGAAAACAAACAGCUGGGCCUUCCCUGUUUUAGAAUUGUAUAGCAGUUCUCGAUCAUAUCUUAAAAUAUUCCUUAUUCUUGUAGCAGUUCUCGUAUCUAAUGUUUUUUGUUCGCUGUAAAGUUGCAGAACCGUACUUGUAUAUGUAUAUAUUAUUAUGGAUCAAUAUUCUUGAGCUCUUCUGGAUCAA